rnacentral:rRNA from 1 species
GGGGGAUAUUGCACAAUGGGGGAAACCCUGAUGCAGCGACGCCGCGUGGAGGAAGAAGGUUUUCGGAUUGUAAACUCCUGUCGUAAGGGAAGAGGAAGGACUGUACCUUACAAGAAAGCUCCGGCUAACUACGUGCCAGCAGCCGCGGUAAUACGUAGGGAGCGAGCGUUGUCCGGAAUGACUGGGUGUAAAGGGAGCGUAGGCGGGAUGGCAAGUCAGAUGUGAAACCUGAGGGCUCAACCUUCAGACUGCAUUUGAAACUGCUGUUCUUGAGUGAAGUAGAGGUAAGCGGAAUUCCUGGUGUAGCGGUGAAAUGCGUAGAGAUCAGGAGGAACAUCGGUGGCGAAGGCGGCUUACUGGGCUUUUACUGACGCUGAGGCUCGAAAGCGUGGGGAGCAAACAGGAUUAGAUACCCUGGUAGUCCACGCUGUAAACGAUGAUUACUAGGUGUGGGGGGAUUGACCCCUUCCGUGCCGCAGUUAACACAAUAAGUAAUCCACCUGGGGAGUACGACCGCAAGGUUGAAACUCAAAGGAAUUGACGGGGGCCCGCACAAGCAGUGGAGUAUGUGGUUUAAUUCGAAGCAACGCGAAGAACCUUACCAGGUCUUGACAUCGAGUGACGUAUCCAGAGAUGGAUAUUUCCUUCGGGACACAAAGACAGGUGGUGCAUGGUUGUCGUCAGCUCGUGUCGUGAGAUGUUGGGUUAAGUCCCGCAACGAGCGCAACCCUUAUCAUUAGUUGCUACGCAAGAGCACUCUAAUGAGACUGCCGUUGACAAAACGGAGGAAGGUGGGGAUGACGUCAAAUCAUCAUGCCCCUUAUGACCUGGGCUACACACGUACUACAAUGGCGUUAAACAAAGAGAAGCAAGACCGCGAGGUGGAGCAAAACUCAGAAACAACGUCCCAGUUCGGACUGCAGGCUGCAACUCGCCUGCACGAAGUCGGAAUUGCUAGUAAUCGCAGAUCAGCAUGCUGCGGUGAAUACGUUCCCG